UUUAAUAUGGCAGAUUAAGUGCAUUGGAUUUAAACCCCAAAAAAAAAAACCUCUCAUUUUUUUAUUAAAA
rnacentral:tRNA from 1 species